UGAGGGUGCAUUGAGAUUUGGCUUUGUACUGGAACUUUGUUGCAUUUUGAUGUCCAAACAAUGGCAGUCACCAUGUGCCUCUUAGUCAUCCAACAUCCACAACAAGGCUGCAAUCUAUUAGGAUGUGGACCUGACCACAGCGAUCCUUUAUCACAUCAAGACUGGAGUACACUCAUUAAUAUAUAAUCUCUGUGAGAUAUUUUUACCAUGUUAAUUUCAGCCUCAUGAAAGUGCUCAGACACCACAGAGGCAAGUUAGAUAACUCAGAAAUUUCAGCUGGAGCAAAAUGCACCUGCCUGUAUAUUAAUUGUUGUUAUGUAGAGCUAAAUUAUCACAUUACUUAGCUAUUCAGGGGAGUAAGUGUAAAUUACUGCUUGCCUGUGUGGCACUCCUUUGACUCCAGCCAUAUUGGAAGAAGAGGGGUUACUCCUUUUUAUGAACAAAUAGGCUAGGAAGAAAGGGGGAGUGCAAAGAACCUUGGCUUCCUCUCCCACAUUAAUCAGCCAAACAAGCAGGUGAAGUGCACAGGUCUGCAACCCCUUAUGAAGCGCCCCCCAUACAAACAAACUCUUUAAACACUUCAUUAACUUGCACCAGGGACUGCCACAGAACACCUAAUUACAGGAGAUGAAACUUAUUUCCUCUCAGUCCUUGUCACCAGUGAAGAGAGGAAUCUGGGCCUAUGCAUCGCUGAAAGCUUGGUGGUGAAGGUAUUGAAAAGGAUAGGAGAUGAGGGACCCUGAUUUUUUCCUCUAUUCAACUGUAAAACAUUUUAAUGGAGUUGAAAAGUGAAAGAUUGCUCAUCACUGCUUGAUUUGCUGGGCAGCAGACUGAAGACAAGGUUUUAAAUAACUGUGGCAUGGUUACCAUUCUUCUCAGCAACCAAGUGAACUUCUUUCAGAGGCUGCAAAAGAUUACUUGUUUCCAGCAAAGGAGGAGAAUACUUUUUGUUCCCAUGCCAUGAGAUGUGACCUUUAAAGGAUAUUUCAGUUAUAACCUACUUCUGACUUUGAAUAUCCUUUGGGAACCUUUCAGCAAUGAAGAAGAAAUUCUUCCACCAAUGAAAAAAGAUCUACAAAUAAGUUCCUGGAAAAAGAAUAUAGUAGGCAACAUCUUCAUCCACAGAAGAAUAAUGUCCAAAACCAAAUUGAUUAACAUAGUUUUUAAAUGAGGUUAACAAGUUGCAAAGAGAUUACAGAGAUAUUGAAGAUUUCUAACUCCAUGCUGUAGCAAGUGCUAUUGGAUGAGAUUCUGGUGUUAACACUACCCUUGCAACUUCAUUGAUUUCCACUCAGACAUACAGCAUACAAAACUGGUGUAAAAAAGGGCAGCAUCUGGCUCAUUCAGCUAAUUGUAGUGAAAUUGAAGGUGAAUUUGAUCCAUAUAUUCAAAUUCAAGCAAGUAAUUCUUUUCAAAACACUUCAGCUACUAAAAUGCAUUCACAUUAAACAACCCCGUCCCCAUUUAGUCACAUUUGCACUUGUAAUGAAUUCUGUGAGAGAAAUGUUGUUCCAGCUGUAUGCAGUGUCUCAACAAAAUAUUGCAAGCUUGCCACUUACUGCCCCCAGAUCUGUAAUCUAGCUGGAAUAUUUUAAAAUAUGAUUUCAGAUUCUUAACAAGCACAGAGCAUAGCCGUGACAUGUUUUAAAAUAAAAUCUCAUCUUCCAAGAUAGUUCAAAUUUUGAACUAUUUAGUCUGCACUAAAUCUUCUUUUAAAGUAUGUUAAAGGCCAAUUCAAGUGUUUACUGCUGUAUGUAUAAUUCAGACCUUGUUUCAGAAAAGCUUACUUGGACUGGACAAAAGUGGGUAGUCCCUCAGGAGGCGCUUACCGUGACCCCAGUAAUGAAUCACUAGAGAAGGUGAGAUUUGGCACUUAAGCUGAGGUUGUCCAAGGUUUGAUUUCAAUAUAAUUUGCAUAACACUGAAAACUAGAAUCUUACAUUUUUAACACUGUAAAUGAGCCCUUACACUGCAAGACCAGAAUUACAAUAAGGCAGCAGAAACUGCCCCAGGCAUGCACUUUCCUCUAGAGGACAGACAAGAAGAUGGUCAUUUUUAAAAGAGUCUCUACUGCUACUCUGCAUAGCUAUGAAGAAUAGUAAUCAUAAUGGCUUGUGUAAUGCAGAGAAAUGUAGUGUAUAAGGAAUGUAGCAUGGCUUUCCUUAAAACCCUACAAUUUAUUUACACAAUUGUAUGCCAAUUCCAUUAGUGGUGGAGUGAAACCAAGCUGUAGUGUAUAUAGAUAAAGUAUCCAGACCA